rnacentral:rRNA from 1 species
UACGUAGGUGGCAAGCGUUUGUCCGGAAUUAUUGGGCGUAAAGCGCGCGCAGGCGGUCCUUUUAAGGUCUGAUGUGAAAGCCCACGGCUCAACCGUGGAGGGUCAUUGGAAACUGGGGGACUUGAGUACAGAAGAGGAAAAGCGGAUUCCACGUGUAGCGGUGAAAUGCGUAGAGAUGUGGAGGAACACCAGUGGCGAAGGCGGCUUUCUGGUCGUGUAACUGACGCUGGAGGCGCGAAAGCGUGGGGGAGCAAACAGG